UACAGAGGUCUCAAGCGUUGUUCGGAUUCAUUGGGCGUAAAGGGUGCGUAGGCGGUGGAGCAAGUCAGGUGUGAAAUCCCGGAGCUCAACUCCGGAACUGCACUUGAUACUGCUUCGCUAGAGUACUGGAGAGGAGACUGGAAUUUACGGUGUAGCAGUGAAAUGCGUAGAGAUCGUAAGGAAGACCAGUGGCGAAGGCGAGUCUCUGGACAGUUACUGACGCUGAGGCACGAAGGCCGGGGAGCAAACGGG
rnacentral:rRNA from 1 species